CAGUCGCCGCGGUAAUACGGAGGGGGCUAGCGUUGUUCGGAAUUACUGGGCGUAAAGCGCACGUAGGCGGCUUGGUAAGUUAGAGGUGAAAGCCCGGAGCUCAACUCCGGAAUUGCCUUUAAGACUGCCGAGCUAGCAGGUGAGAGAGGUAAGUGGAAUUCCGAGUGUAGAGGUGAAAUUCGUAGAUAUUCGGAAGAACACCAGUGGCGAAGGCGGCUUACUGGCUCAUACUGGACGCUGAGGUGCGAAAGCGUGGGGAGCAAACAGGAUUAGAUACCCCCGUAGUCCCUGUCUCUUAUCC
rnacentral:rRNA from 1 species